rnacentral:rRNA from 1 species
CGCAGUAGCAAUACUGAGUGGCAAACGGGUGAGUAUAAUGUGGGAAUCUGCCUUUUGGUUCGGAAUAACACGAGGAAACCUGUGCUAAUACCGGAUAAGUCCUUACGGAGAAAGUUUUAAUGCCAAAAGAUGAGCCCGCAUUUGAUUAGUUUGUUGGUGAGGUAAUGGCUCACCAAGGCAACGAUCAAUAGCUGUUCUUAGAGGAAGACCAGCCACAUUGGGACUGAGACACGGCCCAAACUCC